CUCGAGCCUGUUCUCUGCUGUUCAGGAACCACCCUUGCCACUUGCCCAUCCUCACCAGGAGGCCAUGGAGGGACCUCACCUGUCGCUUUUCUACUGAGGCUGUGGGACUCCUGGCAUCAGUUAUCCCUCAUGAGCUUGGAAUUUUGGCUUGGCUUUUGGAAGUAAAUGAAGGAGCUGGAUGAUGGCCUGGAUGAAGCGUUUUCGAGGCUUGCCCAGUCUCGGACGAACCCUCAGGUCCUGGACACUGGCCUGACAGCCCGGGACAUGCAUUACGCCCAGUGCCUCUCGCCUGUCAACUGGGACAAGCCUGACAGCAGCGGCACAGAGCAAGAUGACCUCUUCAGCUUCUGAGGGCCCGGGGCCAGCCGGACACAAGCGGCCCUGACACGUGACGGACCAAAGCCACCUGCUGCGGGGGAGCCGGUUCCGGUACCCACCCGCCACCUCUCCCAGCCCUCAGCACUGUCAGCCUGAAGAUCAGAGCUGCAGCCAGUCAGGCAGGGGAGAGAUUUUUUUUUUAAGCCCUGCUCUUUCUCUGAGAACCAAAAGAUGCCUUGAAUAUUUAUUCAGUGACUUCUGGCUUAUGCUUGGAAGCCAGUCUGCAUCAGGCACGUCUCCUGCUGCAUGACAUGUGCAGUGCUGUAAUCGGCUCCCGCUUGCUCUCCUGGAGCAAGCUCUGCCCUGGCUGUGGGUAUCAGGACUGUGACCAAAGCAUUUCUAGUCCCUUCUCUCUUUCUAAGGACCCAAAUUUCCCUGGGGGCAUCCUGCUUCCUGACAGCUGUUGGAUUUCAGUGAUUUUUUCCCCUCACCCCCCAGCACAGGAGAGCACCCACAGCCUCAGAAGGGGAAUGUGUCCUCCUGCUCUGCUUCCUCAGGGCCCAGCAGGCGGGGUUUGAGCCCUGGACCCCAGGCUCUUAGAGACUAAGGGGCAGCUCCUGACCAAAGACGAUACAGCUUGGCACUUUAAAGCAUUAACAGCAGGUGUGACCCUGAGG
rnacentral:sRNA from 1 species